AGGAUGAACGCUGGCGGCGUGCCUAAUACAUGCAAGUCGAACGAGGUGCUUUUGUAGCAAUACGAGAGUAUCCUAGUGGCGAACGGGUGAGUAACGCGUUGGUGACCUACCCCAAAGUGUGGGAUAACAGUCCGAAAGGAUUGCUAAUACCGCAUGUGGUUAUCGGAUCUAGAAACUGAUAACUAAAGGAGCAAUUCGCUUUGGGAGGGACCUGCGUCCCAUCAGCUAGUUGGUGAGGUAACGGCUCACCAAGGCUACGACGGGUAGGGGACCUGAGAGGGUGGCCCCCCACAAUGGAACUGAAACACGGUCCAUACACCUACGGGUGGCAGCAGUAGGGAAUAUUGCACAAUGGGCGAAAGCCUGAUGCAGCAACGCCGCGUGCGCGAUGAAGGCCUUCGGGUCGUAAAGCACUUUUCUGAGAGAUGAGAAAGGACAGUAUCUCAGGAAUAAGUCUCGGCUAACUACGUGCCAGCAGCCGCGGUAACACGUAGGAGGCGAGCGUUAUCCGGAUUCACUGGGCGUAAAGCGCGUGCAGGCGGUUUGGUAAGUUGAUCGUGAAAGCUCCCGGCUCAACUGGGAGAGGUCGGUCAAUACUACCAAACUAGAGAGUAGAAGAGGAAGAUGGAAUUCCCGGUGUAGUGGUGAAAUGCGUAGAUAUCGGGAGGAACACCAGUGGCGAAGGCGAUCUUCUGGUCUAUUUCUGACGCUCAGACGCGACAGCUAGGGUAGUAAACGGGAUUAGAGACCCCGGUAAUCCUAGCCGUAAACGAUGUGAACUUGGCGUCGGUGGCUUAAACACCAUCGGUGCCGAAGCAAACGCGAUAAGUUCACCGCCUGGGGACUACGGCCCGCAGGCUAAAACUCAAAG
rnacentral:rRNA from 1 species